GGACGUGAGGGGGAUCUGGCUGUGACACCUGUCACUCCAUUGAUCUCUAGGGUUGAUUUGGCUGAUCUGGCCGGCUAGGCGGGUGUCCCCUUCCUCCCUCAACGAUCCAUGUGUGUCCCUCCCGAAGCUGUGCGCUCGGUCGAAGGGGACAACCACCCCAAUAGAGGAGGACCAUUCCUUGAUCAGGGUAUACGAGUGGCUGCGCUUCCCUGCUAGAACCUCCAAAUAAGCUCUCAAGAAUGAUUGAAAUAAGUCUUGCUUUCUAGAUACCCAUUUUGCAGCUAUAGAUGUGACCAAGUGCCAGUCAAAAAAGUUUUUUU
rnacentral:snRNA from 1 species